AUUGAACGCUGGCGGCAGGCCUAACACAUGCAAGUCGAGCGGAUGAAGGGAGCUUGCUUCUGGAUUCAGCGGCGGACGGGUGAGUAAUGCCUAGGAAUCUGCCUGGUAGUGGGGGAUAACGUCCGGAAACGGGCGCCAAUACCGCAUACGUCCUGAGGGAGAAAGUGGGGGAUCUUCGGACCUCACGCUAUCAGAUGAGCCUAGGUCGGAUUAGCUAGUUGGUGGGGUAAAGGCCUACCAAGGCGACGAUCCGUAAAUGGACUGAGAGGAUGGUCAGUCACACUGGAACUGAAACACGGUCCAGACUCCUACGGGAGGCAGCAGUGGGGAAUAUUGGACAAUGGGCGAAAGCCUGAUCCAGCCAUGCCGCGUGUGUGAAGAAGGUCUUCGGAUUGUAAAGCACUUUAAGUUGGGAGGAAGGGCAGUAAGUUAAUACCUUGCUGUUUUGACGUUACCAACAGAAUAAGCACCGGCUAACUUCGUG
rnacentral:rRNA from 1 species